GGCCGGGCCCUACACAUGCAGUCGAGCGGAACGAGUUAUCUGAACCUUCGGGGAACGAUAACGGCGUCGAGCGGCGGACGGGUGAGUAAUGCCUAGGAAAUUGCCCUGAUGUGGGGGAUAACCAUUGGAAACGAUGGCUAAUACCGCAUGAUGCCUACGGGCCAAAGAGGGGGACCUUCGGGCCUCUCGCGUCAGGAUAUGCCUAGGUGGGAUUAGCUAGUUGGUGAGGUAAGGGCUCACCAAGGCGACGAUCCCUAGCUGGUCUGAGAGGAUGAUCAGCCACACUGGAACUGAGACACGGUCCAGACUCCUACGGGAGGCAGCAGUGGGGAAUAUUGCACAAUGGGCGCAAGCCUGAUGCAGCCAUGCCGCGUGUGUGAAGAAGGCCUUCGGGUUGUAAAGUACUUUCAGUCGUGAGGAAGGCGGCGUCGUUAAUAGCGGUGUUGUUUGACGUUAGCGACAGAAGAAGCACCGGCUAACUCCGUGCCAGCAGCCGCGGUAAUACGGAGGGUGCGAGCGUUAAUCGGAAUUACUGGGCGUAAAGCGCAUGCAGGUGGUUUGUUAAGUCAGAUGUGAAAGCCCGGGGCUCAACCUCGGAAUAGCAUUUGAAACUGGCAGACUAGAGUACUGUAGAGGGGGGUAGAAUUUCAGGUGUAGCGGUGAAAUGCGUAGAGAUCUGAAGGAAUACCGGUGGCGAAGGCGGCCCCCUGGACAGAUACUGACACUCAGAUGCGAAAGCGUGGGGAGCAAACAGGAUUAGAUACCCUGGUAGUCCACGCCGUAAACGAUGUCUACUUGGAGGUUGUGGCCUUGAGCCGUGGCUUUCGGAGCUAACGCGUUAAGUAGACCGCCUGGGGAGUACGGUCGCAAGAUUAAAACUCAAAUGAAUUGACGGGGGCCCGCACAAGCGGUGGAGCAUGUGGUUUAAUUCGAUGCACGCGAAGAACCUUACCUACUCUUGAAUCCAAAAACUUUCCAAAAUGGAUUGGGGCCUUCG
rnacentral:rRNA from 1 species